GUGCUUGUUUUGGCAACACAUAUACUAAAACUGGAAAGAUAUAGAAAGAUUAGCACAGUCCAGGUGCAAGUUGUCACACAAAUUUAUGAAACAUUCUUUAAAUAG
rnacentral:snRNA from 1 species